rnacentral:rRNA from 1 species
AAUACAUAGGAAUCUGCCCAGUAGUGGGGGAUAACGUGGAGAAAUCCACGCUAAUACCGCAUAUGUUCUACGGAACAAAGCAGGGGACCUUCGGGCCUUGCGCUAUUGGAUGAGCCUAUGUCGGAUUAGCUUGUUGGUGAGGUAAAAGCUCACCAAGGCGACGAUCCGUAGCUGGUCUGAGAGGAUGAUCAGCCACACUGGGACUGAGACACGGCCCAG